AGGUGUUCAGAGAAAGUGUGGGAAAACCCAUAUUUCUGCAUUGUCAUUCGAACACAGAAAACACAGGAGGAAAAUGAGCUGUCACUCCAAUUCCCAUGAUGCCUUGCUGCUUAGCAUAACUCUACAGUGCGGCCCUGGGUCCACUGGUCCAUACUCUGACAGAUAAUUAAGAAAGCAGCAGCUUUUUCUAGACGGCUCUUCCUCAUGAUUUGCAUUUUAGCCAGAGGCGACCAGUUAUAAAAAAAACAUGAUGGAAAGAUGGUAAGAAGCCAAUUAGAUGGAUGGAUGGCUGACUGACAGCUCUCUGGUAUCACGACUCCAGAUUUCAGACUACAUAGCCUGGCAGUUUUCUACAAGAACCAACUUUUUUGCAGAUAUGAGAUGGCUGCUAAACCUAUGGACAUCAAGUUCAUGUUCAAGGGAAGAAGAAGGGGAAAAAGGAAGGAUGGAGCUAGUAAUUCUUUCAGUCCUUUAUAAAAUAAUUCAGUGCUAUCCAAGAAGCACUCCUUGUACCUGGCAUACUUCUCUAAGAAAAGAUCCCACAGAGGAUUGCAUAUAUUUCAGAAAAUGCUGAAGAAACAAUAGGAUGAAUGCAGAAUUCUGAAGACAAUAUACAGCAUCUUCACAUUUCAAGAGUCCUUUUACAACAGAAGUUUUCAAGCUCUUGGUAAAAGACAGAUUUUUUUUCCCCUAGGCCUGCUGUGCUGCAAAUUUUUUCAGUCCAUUGAAAUUUACUGCUCUUUUCACCUAAAAUCACUGUAAAUGUUGUGACAUGUCUAAAAAUGUGUCUGCCUCUCCCCUGUUUCUUCUAGCCUCAAACUAGUUUUUUUUUUAAUUUGACCAUACACUUACAAAGAGUGUAUUACUAUUUUUCUCACUAAGGCCUGUUAUUUAUUUUCCAUAUGACAAAUAGCUUUUUACUUGGCUUGGGUAAAUGCCACAGAUGGAGAUAAUCUCAAAUUCAGAUGAAAUGCUUUGGUACAUUGUUUGAGUAACAAAAAAAAAAAAAAAGAAAACAACUACAUAGAUGAACAAACUUACUUGAAUCAAACAAAUUUGGGCAAAUAAAAUAGUAUGAGCAAAGUAGAGUGUGUGUACACACACACACACACACACACACACAUACACACACACACAUACAAACACAUAUAUGUAAUUUUUUUUUGAGAUGGAGUCUUACUCUGUUGCCCAGGCUGGAGUGCAGUGGUGCAAUCUCUGCUCACUGCAACCUCUGCUUAUCAGGUUCAAUCAAUUCUCCUGCCUCAGGCCCCUGAGUAGCUGGGACUACAGGCUCCUGCCAUCAUGCCUGGCCAAUUUUUAGUAGAGACAAGAUUUUACCCUAUUGGCCAGGCUUGUCUUGAACUCCUAACCUUCAGGGAGGCCUGACCCACCCGCCUCGGCCUCCCAAAGUGCUGGGAUUACAGACGUGAGCCACCUCACACAGCCCAAAGUAGAGUUUUAAUUAAAAUUUUAAUGCUGAAGUAACUGUGUAAUAUUGAUGAAGCUGGUUCAAUCUCAGUUUAUUAUUUCUGCAUAAGUAAUAUUGUUUCUUUCAUUAUUACUUAUGCAGGAAUAAUAAUUAUAAACUGAGAUUGCCCCAUAGAAACUGUGAAAUACAGUCACCUUAUUCAUAGUCUUUAUCUUUCUCUGCACUUAGCUGUGUGACCUGAGCAGUUUACUUAAACUUGUUGUGAAUCAACCAUUGAUUUCCAGUGUGAGCUCUGGUGCUGGACUUAAUCCUUGCCUACCCCAUUUAAUGGUUUUGUGAGCAAAGGCUUCCAGGCAGAGUUGGAUGAACAGUGAGUUUGCAAAGAAUAAAGCAAAAGAAAUUGGUACUAAUAAGAAGUGACUUUUUCUGCCUCAGUUUCACCCCGAUUAAAACUGAAUAUGAUUAUGGAAAAUGUUUCUGGAGUUGAAUUCCAGGAGACAAUAGGCUACCGAUUUUUCUCCUAAAGCAACUUCAUCCUCAGAAAUAAGAAAAGACAAAAGAUGUUGAUGAGGUGACCAAGGUUCUAUCAUUCCCCUAACAGCAUACCUACCUUUCCACCUUUUCAUCCCUAUCCUCACCUCAUCUAGCCUGAGCUCUUGGGAAAAAUAAAAAAGACUAUGAUAUACUUUUGAAACUCAAAGACAUGUUUAUGUGAUUCCCUUUUAAUAUCAUAAGAAUAUACUAUUUAUUACUUUUUAAAAACUCAUCGUAGUGUGGAAAGCCAGGCAAAGUUUCCUUCUAUCAUCCAGUCCUAAAACCUCUUUUAUUUCUGUAGAGGAAGAGUGAUGAAGUAAAUUUGUUUUUGAUGGAAAAAAACUCAUUAUUUUAAGUUGUGCAUUGUGAGAAAAAAAGUGUUUGAAAGUUCUCCUUAAAAACUGGAGUUACAUAACACAGACAUUAGAAAAAAGAAAAUAUAAAUCAAUUUUUGUCUUCUAGCUAGGUCCAGGUUUUGCAAUAAGGGAUUAUGUUUUCUGCAUUUCCUAUCCUUUCAUUAAUGUGACAAGAAGCCUUAGCCUUGCUUGUACAUAUCAGAAAAAUGAGUUCUUGGAUUACAUGCAGGCCCAGCUUAAAGCAGUCAUUCAAUCAAAAGGAAAUGUUGCCUUUAAGUUUUAGUGCUUUGUAAUGUUCUAUAGAAGCCAUAACCCACUUCAGUAGAUAAAAAGGAAGUAAAUGGAGACAUUGCGUGAGUGUGUGUAUACGUGUGUGUGUCCGUGUCAGUGUGACCCAAAGCAGCUUCCAUCUCCUACAUUGUGAGAAGGGACCAAGGAUUUAAUACAGGUUAUUUAUGCAGAAAUUUCAUGGUCAUACAAAAAUAUUGAGUUUAAUGAGACCAGUUUACAACCUAAAAAGGGAUUUAAUUUUUCCAAUAGUCCAUGUGAUAAAAUUAUAUAGAGCAAAAGGAGGAAAUAACAAUCCAAAAGGUGAUGAGAUGAGGGAAAAAUCAUGUUCAAAUACUUUCUCCCCUUAAACAUCCACCUGUAGAGGUAGUUUAAAAGGCUCUGCUUGCAGACAUUUAAAGUUCAGAUUUCUGACACAAAAAUCAGUGGCCAAUGUGUAAUACAUUAAAUUUCAGAGGGAAAGCCAAAUUAGGCUUUGCAGAGGAUUACAGAAAUGUCUCUUGCCCCAAUAUUAGUGAGUUCAUGCCUUAAUAAAUUAUCUAAUGAGUUUUCAACAAGCAACACAGUAAAUAGAAUACAAAGACAAAAAUUGUUUUUUUAAACAUUUGGUUAUAGAACAUUAAAACAAUAACUUGAUUGUAUAUAUUCGUAAAGGGCAAUACAAAAUAUAAGACCAAUUACUCAAAAUAGUUUCUGUUAAUUUAUAAUACAUCAUGUAUAUGUAUUCAAAUGUUCUACAUAAUCAUAUAUUAAAAGGAAUAAUUAGGUUUCAGUACUGCUCAGCUUCUCAAGUCAGGUUCACAAAGGGGACUAUCUUGUAAGAAACAAGUAUUAUAUGUUUUAUACAAUGCUACAAAGUACAAUCCAUUAUAUUUACUGAAAUAUGAGAAAAAAGCACAAACCUAAGUCGUAAAUGGUUAAAUGGGAUACCUAUGUGAUCAAACUCUUAGUUUGAAUCCCAGUUCUUCUAACUGUAAAAUCUUGGGAAAGGCGUCUAACUUUUUGCAACUUUAGCUUUUCUCUACAUAACUUGUCAAUUUCGUAUAAAAUUAAAUUACAGUUAUUAACAGAAUUGUUGACCUAGAAAAUCAUUAUUUAGAUUAUCUAGCCCAACACUUCAUUUUAUAGAUGAUUGGUCUAAGGCCCACAGACUGAAUUAAUUUUCCCCAGGUCACACAUGGCAUUACCUGCAGCACUGGUGUGCAGCCUGUGUUUUCUACAUCACCAUACACCAUGCUUUCACCUCUGACAUUAUGUCUUAUGAUGCUUUAAUAAUUAGAACUCAGUUUCUAAUUAUUAAUAAUUAGAAAGUUCAGUUUCUGAGACAUACAUUUAAAGCCUACCUAAUAUUUGUCUUUUAAAAUGUUUUCUAUCAACCUGUUUCCGCAAUUUGAGCUGCUAACUACACUAAACUGAAGAUCCCAAAUGCAACUAAAAUUGUAGCUAACUUUAGUUGUAUUUCUCAGUUAUUGCAAU
ensembl:lncRNA